rnacentral:lncRNA from 1 species
UCUAGAGGCUGGUCUGGUAGAUCUGCAGGUAGGGUUCAGCUUCAGUCUAGAGGCUGGUCUGGUAGAUCUGCAGGUCAGGUAGGGUUCAGUCUAGCGGCUGGUCUGGUAGAUCUGCAGGUAGGGUUCAGUCUAGAGGCUGGUCUGGUAGAUCUGCAGGUCAGGUAGGGUUCAGUCUAGAGGCUGGUCUGGUAGAUCUGCAGGUCAGGUAGGGUUCAGUCUAGAGGCUGGUCUGGUAGAUCUGCAGGUCAGGUAGGGUUCAGUCUAGAGGCUGGUCUGGUAGAUCUGCAGGUCAGGUAGGUUCAGUCUAGAGGCUGGUCUGGUAGAUCUGCAGGUCAGGUAGGUUCAGUCUAGAGGCUGGUCUGGUAGAUCUGCAGGUCAGGUACGGUUCAGCUUCAGUCUGGUAGAUCUGCAGGUCAGGUAGGGUUCAACUUCAGUCUAGCG